rnacentral:rRNA from 1 species
UACGUAGGGCGCAAGCGUUAUCCGGAAUUAUUGGGCGUAAAGAGCUCGUAGGCGGCCUGUUGCGUCCGCUGUGAAAGCCCGGGGCUUAACCCCCGGGUCGGCAGUGGAUACGGGCAGGCUAGAGGUAGGUAGGGGAGAAUGGAAUUCCCGGUGUAGCGGUGAAAUGCGCAGAUAUCGGGAGGAACACCGGUGGCGAAGGCGGUUCUCUGGGCCUUACCUGACGCUGAGGAGCGAAAGCGUGGGGAGCGAACAGG